rnacentral:rRNA from 1 species
AGAGUUUGAUCCUGGCUCAGGACGAACGCUGGCGGCGUGCUUAACACAUGCAAGUCGAACGGAAAGGCCCCCACUUUUUUGGUGGGGGUGCUCGAGUGGCGAACGGGUGAGUAACACGUGGGUGAUCUGCCCUGUACUUCGGGAUAAGCUUGGGAAACUGGGUCUAAUACCGGAUAGGACCAUGGUUUAGUGUCUCAUGGUGGAAAGAUUAUUGUUUUGGUGCAGGAUGAGCUCGCGGCCUAUCAGCUUGUUGGUGGGGUAAUGGCCUACCAAGGCGUCGACGGGUAGCCGGCCUGAGAGGGUGGACGGCCACAUUGGGACUGAGAUACGGCCCAGACUCCUACGGGAGGCAGCAGUGGGGAAUAUUGCACAAUGGGCGCAAGCCUGAUGCAGCGACGCCGCGUGGGGGAUGACGGCCUUCGGGUUGUAAACUCCUUUCGUUAGGGACGAAGCCACACUUUUUUUGGGUGUGGUGACGGUACCUUUGUUAAGAAGCACCGGCUAACUACGUGCCAGCAGCCGCGGUAAUACGUAGGGUGCGAGCGUUGUCCGGAAUUACUGGGCGUAAAGAGCUCGUAGGUGGUUUGUUGCGUCGUCUGUGAAAUUCCGGGGCUUAACUUCGGGGUGGCAGGCGAUACGGGCAUAACUAGAGUGCUGUAGGGGAGACUGGAAUUCCUGGUGUAGCGGUGGAAUGCGCAGAUAUCAGGAGGAACACCGAUGGCGAAGGCAGGUCUCUGGGCAGUAACUGACGCUGAGGAGCGAAAGCAUGGGGAGCGAACAGGAUUAGAUACCCUGGUAGUCCAUGCUGUAAACGGUGGGCGUUAGGUGUGGGGACCGGUUUGGUUUCUGUGCCGUAGCUAACGCAUUAAGCGCCCCGCCUGGGGAGUACGGCCGCAAGGCUAAAACUCAAAGGAAUUGACGGGGGCCCGCACAAGCGGCGGAGCAUGCGGAUUAAUUCGAUGCAACGCGAAGAACCUUACCAAGGCUUGACAUGCGCCCUGACGCUGCAGAGAUGUGGUGGCAUUUGGUUGGGGGUGUACAGGUGGUGCAUGGUUGUCGUCAGCUCGUGUCGUGAGAUGUUGGGUUAAGUCCCGCAACGAGCGCAACCC